AGUCUACAUAACUCGCGAUUCACUCUGUAUAAUUGAUGCUUGAGCAAUCCUACAAUACAAGGAUUUUACUUGGUAUAUACACAUCAAUGCAAGCAGCUCAAGGGAAGGGUUGCUCACUGGCGCGUGCAUACAACUGUUACAUAAACGUUACGUCGUGGGCCGCAAAGACAGCAUAGAAGAAGACAUACUUCUAGGGGUGUUCGCGGCGAUACAUCUAGGGUUUGUUCGAUGAUCACCACGCAUAGAAGCGAUAUUACGGCGAAGGAGGCAGCUGCCUCUUCUCUCGUGGAGGAAGACGCCGGGAUCAACCGUAACAGCGGCCGAAGGGAAGUCGUGUGGAACAAUCUAUACGUGCCAGAGAAGGAACCGGAGUGGGACGUGGACAGCUUCGACGGUCGCGAAUAUGAAUCAGAUCCCGAGGACCGUGAGUUUUUCAACGACGAGGACAGAUAUCAGAAACACCGUCAGAGCAGGAUCGAGGCUUUGAAGAAUAAGGGUUUUUUACCAGAUGAAGCAUAUGGAAUCUACACGUUUUGUAAUCUUCAAUCACAGACGGCUGCGGUGGCGUCUAGUAGAGAGUUGGUGACAGAUCUGGCUUCAUUAUGUGUCAAAAAAUACAACGAGGACAAGGGAAUGACUUUGGAAGUGGAUAGUGUUGUGAGAGCUACUGUAAGUAGAGGAGGUAGAUGGAAGUUCUAUCUAACGUUGAUGGCUCGGGAGUAUCAUAAUGGGCCUCUUGUUGAGUACCAAGCCAAAGUAAUGUGGUAUAUUGGUAAUUCUAAGCCUCCGUUUCCCAUAUUCUGCCGACCAAGCCCUAAACUCUGAAUCCGAACUCUCAUUAUUAGCUAGAUCUAUGUGUUGAAUGAAGUUAUCCUCUCCCGUUUAUCUCAAUGAUACUUUGUACUUAAUGCGACUAUAUGUAAUUUUGUUUAUUUGGGCAUCUAUAUAUAAAUAUCAGAAGCAAUUAAGUUAUGAAAUGGAACUGGAGUGUUCGAGGAAUACAGUAUGGCACAUCAACCUCUAGAAGUGGUUGUAGCCUUUUUGGUAUUUAUUUGUGUAAUGUGUAUUGAGAAAUCAUAACAUUAAAACUGAAAAGCAGCAUUCGUUAAAGGCAUCUGAAUACCUUUGUGUGGGAUUUUUAUAUGCAUGCUCCAUAAACGGUGAAUAAUGUAACUAAAGUUACUAUAUCGUUUGACUUGUGUUCUAAAAGGAAUUUAAUGAUUAUUUGUAACGUUUCCGGUAGCAAUGGUGUACUGAAUGGUGGUUAUGAAACGAUUAGGAGUUUUGUACUGGUUAAGUGAAAAUAUACUUUGGUGCAAAUCUGUUUCAAAGUGAUGAAAAAGAAUCAGAGAAUAGUUUAGUCCAAGGAGACAAACAAGAAGAAAAAUUACAGACUAAUGAAGAAGCUGUUUGUGAGGAAGGUUCCAAUAAGAAUGACAACGAUCAGGAGACUAUAGAUCUUGAGAAUUGUGUUGAUCUUGAUGAGAUUCCUGUCUUGAAAAAUGCCAACACCGAGACAGACAAUGAUCAUAAAGAGUCGGACAUUCAAGCUUUUGAAAGUUUAGGACAAGUCGACCAACUUGAGAUAGAACAAGCAAUCCAGGAGAAUGAUCCAGAGCCUGAGAAAGUGAUUACUUUCCAUGAAGAAAGAGGGGUAGACCAACCUGAUGGUGAUUCAGCAACUGAACCAGAAGAUGAUGGUUCUGGUGUUGACUCAGAUGGCACAGUCUCUGAAGCCGAUUCAAACCAAGCCGUACAGGGAUCUGAUAUCGCUGAAGAAGAGAUGAUUCUAUCUGAAUUAGAAGGUUCUGUAACUGCUCCAACGUCUCCUUCUCAUCUGCUUGAAGAGGCUAAAGUCAAAGCAGCUCCAGUAUCUCCAUUCGCACCAGAAUCAAUCUCUGCUCAGUUUCCAAGACCAAACAAAUCAGCAACAACCACAUCAAAGAACUCGGCUAUGAAGCUGGUCAGUGUCGACAACAAUAACAAGGAGAACAACAUGGAGAUGAUGGUGAAUGUUAGUGACAAUGGAGAGAUCAAAGCUGAGGCUAAGAAACAGAAGAAGAAGAAGGUGGAGUUCGAUGAAGAGAACUUGAAAGAUGUUAGCAUGAGGCAACUUGUGAAGAUGGUGAAGGAACUCUCUAUAAAAAGCAGUAACAACAGAACAACAUUGCAGAUGUUGCCUGGUAAUAAUCAUAUUGCAGAGUAGUAGUCUGGCGAUUCAAAAAAUGCGUAUCUUUUUCUUUUGUUGUUGUCUCAA